rnacentral:lncRNA from 1 species
UUUUUUUUUUUUUUUUUUUUUUUUUUUUUUUUUUUUAACUUUUUUUUUUUUUUUUUUUUUUUUUUUUUUUUUUUUUUAAAUUUUGAUACACAUUGACAUUUCACACAGACAGCUGCUUUCAAUGUGUAAUCAUUAAUCAAUCAAACAUGAGGAAUUAUGUAGAUGUGUUACGCGGAUCUUAGGGACAGUAAGAUCACCGGCCUUUGAAUUAUGUGAUGAGGGGCUGGGGGCUGCGAUAAUGAC